rnacentral:rRNA from 1 species
UACGGGGGGAGCAAGCGUUGUUCGGAUUUACUGGGCGUAAAGGGUCCGUAGGUGGUUGUGUAAGUCUGGUGUGAAAUCUUCGCCGCUUAACGGGAAGAAGCCACUGGAAGCUGCGCAACUUGAGUAUGGUAGAGGCAAGCGGAAUUCCUGGUGUAGCGGUGGAAUGUGUAGAUAUCAGGAAGAACAUCUGUGGCGAAGGCGGCUUGCUGGGCCAUCACUGACACUGAGGGACGAAAGCGUGGGGAGCAAACGGG